UGUUAGCGCGAACGUGCUCGGUGUCACCGGUAAACACGCGGGUAGAUAACAAUCUAUUUGGAUUGCCUCUAUAUUUCAUUUUUCCCGUGUGCACCGCUCUAACUAGAUAGAGGUGCCGCGUCACAUGAACGAAUAAGGGAAAUACGGGUCUGUUUCUUCUGUAACAAGUAUACCUAGUGUGAAAAUGGAAAGUAUGGAGUGGUGACGUCACUGGCUGCCGACCUUGCCACUGGAAAAAUGUGCCGCGUCGGUCGGUGAAGCUGCUGGCUCAUCAGUACGGCGCCGGGCGUCGCACCCGCGUCCAACACAACACACUUCUAACAACGAAGGUGAUACCUGCUCCAGGGUUUUAGUGGAACUUGUGAUGACAACAUUAAUGAUGAUCUUAUUAAUUUUUGGUGACGACGGUAGUUACGUUAAUGUACGCGUAGGUAUUGUUUUCUCUUUUCGUGUCUGAAAUAGAGUUCUGAAUGUACAUGUAAAGAGUCCAUAACUAAAGACGUUUAAACGAAAGACGUAGAUGUACCUUUGUGAUGGGUAAUUAUGUAGCUCAAUAAAGAAAACAAAUGCGAAAA
rnacentral:lncRNA from 1 species